CGUGAUUCAGCUGAAGGCAGCCUUUUCCAAAUUACUGUGUUGAUUUAAGGAAAAAAUCGGAAAAAAACUCUUCUUUUAACAGCAGGUGUUUCCCGGGACUACUACGGAGGUCUUCUUGCAGGGAUUUUGGUUUUAUUUUGUCUUCUAAGCAUCUGUACACGGAAUACACUGUUCCAGCAGAGGAAUUGCAGUGGAUCAAGUUCAUUGCAGGCACAUCAAGAAAUUGAACCACUGGAUGUGGAAGAGCAGGAACUGGACAUACAAGGUGAGGAACAGCAGGAAGUGGGCAUGCAGGAUGUGGAACAGCAUGAAGUGGGCAUGCAGAAUGUGGAACAGCAGGAAUUGGGCACUCAGGAUGUGGAACAGCAGGAAUUGGGCAUUCAGGAUGUGGAACAGCAGGAAUUGGGCAUUCAGGAUGUGGAACAGAAGGAAAUUGGCUUGCUGGAUGUGGACAUGCUGAAAGUGGAACAGCGGGGAGUGGACACGCAGGAAGUGGAUGAAAUGGAUGUGGACAUGCAAAAACGGAACAGUUGGUAGAGGAACAGCAGGAAGUAGGAAUGCAGGAUGUGGAACAACAGGAGGUAUGACAGCAGAAAUCACAAGUACAAACAUUUAUGGAAAGACACAUUUACCUGAAGCUGGGACUGCAUUGCCUUGACUGUGUGCUUCAGAUUGUGGUCGAGUGGGAAGGUGAACCUGUGCUCUAACCUGAGGUCCUAGGAACUGUUGAGUAACUUCAACAAUCACUCUGUACUUCUGCCCAUUCAUUUUUCCGUAAAUGUUUCAGUAAUGUUGCACGGUAUACCGAUACUGAAAAAGUUCCGUGCCCCGUCAUUAAAAACAAUACUACUAUUUGUUUUAUUAGUGUCAGUACUUUAAGAGUAUUCCCUAUGAUUUGUGUCACUGUGCAACAGCAGGUCAGUGGCUCCACUUUCUCUCCCUCUCCCUGCAGGCACAGUGGGCGUGCCAAGCAUUUUUUUCUGUCACCCUGCAGCUUUCACAGACAGGACAGUAGUGAUGUGUGAAAUUACACUUUUUUGGGACAGAAUGUGUUUGAUUCAGUUCACCUAAAAGAUUCAUUCUGAUUUGUUCACCAACUCAUUCAGUGGCUCUUUCCGUUUGUAUAAAAUAGAUCUGAAACACUUGUGUUCCGAUGUGUCAAAAAGUAACCUAUCGUUUAGGCUAAAUAGUGUUAUGGAGUAAACUAAACACCCCCCAUAAGUUAUGUGAGAAAGAUAUUAGUUAUUGAACUAUAUGGUCUUAUGGCGUAUGCGCAGAGUGCGUGUUCAGUGGCGCGCUGCUCUCUGGUAGCGGCAGCAAUAGAACCAAAUCAGUGAACGCUCUGCAUUUGAGA